rnacentral:rRNA from 1 species
GAUGAACGCUAGCAGGAGGCUUAAUACAUGCAAGUCGAGCGGGAUCCACUUUCGGGGUGGUGAGAGCGGCGCACGGGUGAGUAACGCGUACACGACCUACCUCUGACAAGGGGAUAGCCCUGGGAAACUGGGAUUAAUACCCUAUACGAUUCCGGAUAAUAAAGGUCUGGAAUGAAAGCUCCGGCGGUCAGAGAUGGGUGUGCGUCUGAUUAGCUAGUUGGUAGGGUAACGGCCUACCAAGGCGAUGAUCAGUAGGGGGCGUGAGAGCGUGGUCCCCCACACGGGUACUGAGACACGGACCAGACUCCUACGGGAGGCAGCAGUGAGGAAUAUUGGACAAUGGGCGAGAGCCUGAUCCAGCCAUGCCGCGUGCAGGAAGACGGCCCUAUGGGUUGUAAACUGCUUUGUACGGGAAGAAACACCCCUCGUGAGGGGCUUGACGGUACCGUAAGAAUAAGGAUCGGCUAACUCCGUG